rnacentral:rRNA from 1 species
UACGUAGGGGCAAGCGUUGUCCGGAAUUAUUGGGCGUAAAGAGCGUGUAGGCGGUCCGGUAAGUCAGCUGUGAAAGUCAAGGGCUCAACCCUUGAAUGCCGGUUGAUACUGUCGGGCUAGAGUCCGGAAGAGGCGAGUGGAAUUCCCGGUGUAGCGGUGAAAUGCGCAGAUAUCGGGAGGAACACCAAGGCGAAGGCAGCUCGCUGGGCGGU